AACUCAUGUUGCGGUUGAGUUUUUUACUCCAGUCAACCUGUAGAGAAGAAAACAAUGAUCACAAUGGUGGAAAAAUUAUGCCAAACAGGAAUCGGGGAGGGCCUCAUCGAAGGUAUUUUGUGAAAUUUUAUGCGGCGGCGACGCCGAGCUUUGCCCAUGGUUUUCGGCCAAUCAGCUAAUCCUUUUGCUCCAAUUUGGCCAUGGGGUAAUUAGAAUUGAAUUCUAAGAAAAGGAGAAAAUUUUUACCUCUUUUGGCGAUCGGAAAGGGCUUCGGUGCGGCGGCGGCCCUCUUUCCCAACGGCUGGGUCUUCUUCUCUGAUGAGGGUGUCUAGCAGCUGGGGUUAAGGUUUGGUGUGAAGAGGGUUAUUUAUAUCUGUCUCUAUUUAAUCUGGGCCAUCCAUCGUGUUUGAUCUGGACUGUUCGAUCGUGA
rnacentral:lncRNA from 1 species